CUGAGAGCGAUGGCUGCUGUGGCCGUAGCUGUUCGCGAGGGUGAGUGAAGAGCCGGGCCUGCCCACCGGUACGCGGGGCCGACGAGCUCCGAACAGCUAGUGCCGGGCCCUGAGCGUCUUUGGGCCCCGCCGUUCCGUUCCAGCGCCACGCUGGGCUCCGGUCUACACAGUCUCGUGCGCAGUCCCGCGCCGCGCACCGGCUGGUUGCUGUGAGGAGGGUCGGUGACCCCUCCUUUCCUUUGAUCCGCCGCGCAGUGCGUCCCCACGCGGAUCCCUGGCUCGCCUCGCCCCUGCCGGCGGAGCCGUGGUCAUGCCAACCCAGCAGACGGCUGCGCCGAGUACUAGUGCCCCCAAACCCUCCCAGAGUCUCUCUGGCUCACUUUGUGCCCUGUUUUCUGAUGCAGACUCGGGAUCCGGGAUGAAGGCGGAGCUUCCCCCUAGGCCUGGGGUAAGUGAGGCUUCCCUCCGAAGCCGCCUGCCAAGCGCUACGCAGGAGGCUGUGCCAGCUUUAUUCCGCCCCAGCUCCCAUCCCGUGUCGGUUUAUUUCUCAGUAAAGCCAGGAGAUUUUACAGAGGUCUUGCAAUCCUAGCGAUAUAUGAUUCUGUUCCUGGAGGAGAAACGUCAGUCUCUGUGGAUGUAAGCUUGUAACAGGUAGCUUGUGGAAGUUACGAAGAACUAGGGAUUUAACCAUGUGGAAAUCUUGUAAGCAUCCAAUAGUGUUUGUUCCCCUUUGGAAUUGUUGGGGAAGAGCAGUAUCCUAUGUCUGUGUCUCAGGCAGUGGGGAGGGAAAUGACCAAAGAAGAAAAGCUGCAGCUUCGGAAGGAAAAGAAACAGCAGAAGAAGAAACGGAAGGAAGAAAAGGGGGCAGAACCAGAAACUGGCUCUGCUGUGUCUGCAGCCCAAUGUCAAGUAGGCCCAACCAGAGAACUGCCAGAAUCGGGCAUUCAGUUGGGCACUCCUGGGGAGAAAGUUCCAGCUGGUCGGAGUAAGGCCGAACUUCGGGCUGAGCGUCGAGCAAAGCAGGAGGCUGAGCGGGCCCUGAAACAGGCAAAAAAAGGGGAACAAGGAGGACCACCUCCUAAGGCCAGCCCCAGCACAGCUGGAGAAACCCCCUCAGGAGUGAAGCGUCUCCCUGAGUACCCUCAGGUUGAUGACCUACUUCUGAGAAGGCUUGUUAAAAAACCAGAGCGUCAACAGGUAGGAAGUGGGUUUGGUGCCUGGCUAGAAAGCGCCUAGGGAAAUGGACUGGAGGGAGGAAAGGUGCUGGGUGCAAAGUGAGAAGGAUGGGUGCUUGGGUCACAGUAGUCUUACUGUUCACUUCCUUUCCAGCUUUAUCCCAUCAUUUUUAAACUCUGGGCCAUUGGUCCUGUUCCCUUGUUUUGUCAAGGUUCCUACACGAAAGGAUUAUGGAUCCAAAGUCAGUCUCUUCUCUCACCUACCCCAGUACAGCAGACAAAACUCUCUGACCCAGUUUAUGAGGUAGGAUCCUAUGAAAUUGUCAUAACUUUUGAGUCUGAGGAGUUUUAGUAGGUCAGUAUUGAAAGUGUCUAGUAAUCUGAGAUGGACUCUGUAGGAAAAAGUAUGAACCCAAGGCAGAACUGUAGAGGAAGUGGGGAAAUCUGCUAGUGAAGGGAGUUCCUUUUCAUCAGGGGCAGGUGGGCAGUAGAUGCUCAAGCUCCCUUUCAAAGUAUGUGACACCGCCAUCCCAUCAGCAUCCCAUCCUCUGUGAUCCACCCAGCCAUGGUGCGACUCGGCCUGCAGUACUCCCAGGGCCUGGUCAGUGGCUCCAAUGCCCGGUGUAUUGCCCUGCUUCGUGCCUUGCAGCAGGUAUGUUCCAUCCUGUUCUCUCUUAUGAUCCAACCCCACCUCCCCAAACACUACCCCAGCUUCUGUCACCCAAGGUCAUCUCUGGGGGACAGAGGGAAUACUCCUACCCUCAGAACAUUUUCCUCAGUGAAGCUUACCCCCAGUCCCUAUUCAGAGAUCUUUAUUCAGGGGCAUUUUGCAGAUCACCUUGUGUACCCUAUAGGUGAUUCAGGAUUACACAACACCGCCCAAUGAAGAACUCUCCAGGGAUCUAGUGAAUAAACUAAAACCCUACAUGAGGUAGGGACAACACUAUAAGUCCACUCCCAGCUUGCCCAAUCUUUGUCUUGUACUCUUUUUCCUGCUUUUCUCUCUUCAUUUUGUGUUCUAUUUUCUUUUUAAAGACUUUUUUUUAAAAUGUGAAAGCUUUGUAAGUUGUGAAGAGUUGCACAGAUAUAAGGUAUUGCUGUUGUAUUACAGCUUCCUGACUCAGUGCCGUCCCCUGUCAGCGAGCAUGCACAACGCCAUCAAGUUCCUUAACAAGGAAAUCACCAGUGUGGGCAGUUCCAAGCGGGAAGAGGAGGUGAUGAGUAUGAGAAAUAAGGAAGGCAUGCACCUGUGGGUAAAAUUAAGAAACAUGUUAAAAACUCCCGGGAAGGCCAACAUAAGCCUAUUUUUGCCCUAGUCAAGGGUUAAGGAAUGGUUUGGCCAUUCUGACUUGUACCAUCUCUGGGCCCACUAUAGGCUUGUCAUCAUACACAUAUUCAAGCACCUAGCAUGAUCAUCAGAGGGAUAAAAGUGUCCAUUUCUUGUUCACUAAGGAUUUUACUCCAUUUAGGCCAAGUCAGAACUUCGAGCAGCCAUUGAUCGGUAUGUGCAAGAGAAGAUUGUGCUUGCAGCUCAGGCAAUUUCACGCUUUGCUUACCAGAAGAUCAGUAAUGGAGAUGUGAUCCUGGUAUAUGGAUGGUAUGGUCCAGACCCUGUGACUGAGCAGAUCGGGAGUUGGAAUGAUCUGAAGAAGGGACUACCCACUUGCCUUUGGGAAUAAGUUAGUCAUCAGUUACUGACAUUUAUAACUGAAUCCUCAUCUUCAUUCACUCUAGCUCAUCUCUGGUAUCACGAAUUCUUCAGGAGGCUUGGACAGAGGGCCGGCGGUUUCGGGUGGUAGUGGUGGACAGCCGGCCAUGGCUGGAAGGAAGGCACACACUACGUUCUCUAGUCCAUGCUGGUGUCCCAGCCUCCUACCUGCUGAUUCCUGCAGCCUCCUAUGUGCUCCCAGAGGUAAGUACAGAGGAAAAGGACUCCAAAGUUGGCGGUAAAAAGAUGUAGUAGUAUAGACAUAAUCUCACCUUCCCAAAGUCACAGUUUUGUUUUUGUUUUGAGAUAAGGAUGGAGUGCAAUGACGUGAUCACAGCUCACUGCAGUCUUGACCUCCUGGGCUCGGAUGAUCUUCCCACCUCCGCCUGAGUAGCUGGGACUACUGGUGUGUGCCACCAUGCCCAGCUAGUUUUUAUUUUUCUUGUAGAGAUGGGAUAUCGCUACGUUGCCCAGGCUGGAACUCCUGGGCUCAAGCAGUUCCCCCUGUCUCGGCCUCCCAAAGUACUGGGAUCAUAGGCAUGAGCCACUGUGCCCAGCCACAAUUAUUUAAAAAUAUUAGAAUUAUAUAGCCCUGGCUUGGCGCCAUGGCUCAACGCCUGCAAUCUCAGCACUUUGGGGGUCCAAGGCAGGAGGAUCACUUGAGCCCAGGAGUUCAAGACCAGCCUGCUCAACAUAAUGAGACCCUGUCUACACACAAACACACCACACACCACACACACACACACACACCAACACUUAGCUGGGCACGGUGGCAUGCGCAUGUAGUUCCAGCUACUUAGGAAGCUGAGGUGAGAGGAUUGCUUGAGCCCAGGAGGUUGAGGCUACAGUGAGCUGUGAUUGCACCACUGCACUCCAGCCUGGGCGACAGAGUGAAACCCUGUGUCAAAAAAAUAAUUAUAUAACCCUGUUUAUAUUUAAUUGGAAAAACACUGACAGUAUAUUACAGCAGUCUAGCUAUUGCAAAAACAUUACAUUAAACUAGCAACCAGGAAGAGGGAACAAGACAAAAGUAACUUGAAAGUUUAGUUUUCCUGUGGGAGAUUUGGUGGGUCUGUGGUCAGGUAUUUUCACAGAAGAAAAGCCAUCAUUAAGAUUUAUUAGGCCGGGCACGGUAGCUCAAGCCUGUAAUCCCAGCACUUUGGGAGGCCGAGGCAGGCGAAUCACGAGGUCAGGAGUUCGCAGUCAUCCUGGCUAACACAGUGAAACCCCGUCUCUACU
rnacentral:sRNA from 1 species